rnacentral:rRNA from 1 species
GGCGCGUAGGCGGUAUAGUAUGUCGGGUGUGAAAUCUCCAGGCUCAACCUGGAAAGUGCGCUCGAAACUGCUAAACUAGAGUACGGGAGGGGAGAUCGGAAUACAAGGUGUAGCGGUGAAAUGCGUUGAUAUCUUGUAGAACACCGGUGGCGAAGGCGGAUCUCUGGAACGUAACUGACGCUGAGGCGCGAAAGUCGGGGGAGCGAACA